rnacentral:rRNA from 1 species
AGCGAACGCUGGCGGCAGGCCUAACACAUGCAAGUCGAACGAAGUCUUCGGACUUAGUGGCGGACGGGUGAGUAACACGUGGGAACGUGCCUUUAGGUUCGGAAUAACUCAGGGAAACUUGUGCUAAUACCGAAUGUGCCCUUCGGGGGAAAGAUUUAUCGCCUUUAGAGCGGCCCGCGUCUGAUCAGCUAGUUGGUGAGGUAAAGGCUCACCAAGGCGACGAUCAGUAGCUGGUCUGAGAGGAUGAUCAGCCACAUUGGGACUGAGCACACGGCCCAAACUCCUACGGGAGGCUGCAGUGGGGAAUCUUGCGCAAUGGGCGAGAGCCUGACGCAGCCAUGCCGCGUGAAUGAUGAAGGUCUUAGGAUUGUAAAAUUCUUUCACCGGGGACGAUGAUGACGGUACCCGGAGAAGAAGCCCCGGCUAACUUCGUGCCAGCAGCCGCCGCGG